rnacentral:lncRNA from 1 species
GAAUGAUGAAGUCAUCGUUUCGGAUACAGGCAACAAAGUUUCAUUGUCUUUUGAUGCAAGCCCACACAUUCCAGGCACAGAUGUGCACAGUGGGGCAACUACUGAAAAGCAGACAAGAAGCCACUCUGUCACCAGCAUUGGGCCUGGCGCCAGGCGUCUUCCUUUCUUCGAACCCAUGACGGGGCUGAGGCCCUCAGAAGUGAGUCAUGGAGGAACGCAGGCAUCUGCCCACGGAGGGAGACCCAUUUACUCAGGGAAAAUAUCUGCAGGCAGUCUUUGUGCUUUGCUGUGCCAGAAGCUGUUAAGCCUGAUUCACACCACUGCCACUGUGGGACUGAACCCCCGCUGACGACAAAAAGAGCACAGGGAAGAAGCGAAAAUAGCUUAUUUUCAAUGACUUGCUGAAAACUCCCAGAUGUGAGCUGCGAUGGCCGUGUGGUGCACACAUUUGGGCUCUGAGUAUGGAUGUUCUCUCUAAAUAUCCCCCUGCUGCUCAGCAAAUUGAGGUCAAAUGCAGUUGAAUACCAGCAAUUUCCUAUAAACUACCUACUAGAUUAACUGUGCAAACAAGAUUACAACUUUCUAAAGAACCAAAGUACUUCCACUUCCUUUAAAAGCAUCCAUUGAUUACUAAUUUCUGCUCAUUAAGCCAGGCUCCCA